rnacentral:rRNA from 1 species
UACAGAGGUCCCAAGCGUUGUUCGGAUUCACUGGGCGUAAAGGGUGCGUAGGCGGCCGGGUAAGUCUGUUGUGAAAUCCCGCAGCUCAACUGCGGAACUGCAGUGGAAACUACCCGGCUCGAGGAAUGGAGGGGAGACUGGAAUUCUCGGUGUAGCAGUGAAAUGCGUAGAUAUCGAGAGGAACACCAGUGGCGAAGGCGAGUCUCUGGACAUUUCCUGACGCUGAGGCACGAAAGCCAGGGGAGCAAACGGG